CCCUCGCACCCCCUGCCGGUGUUAAAUCAUUAAAUCAUCACUGGGCUUCAAGGCUGAAAACCUGAGAUCUGCUCUCCGCCCUGCCCCCUAUUGGCCUUGGCACCUUGUGGGGGUCCUUAUACCCCUCUCCUUCCCCCCAUGUGUGCACAGCUGCUGUGCAUUUCACAUGAGAGUCCUGCCACGAAUGGGGAUGGACUUGGCCAAGGUGUUGGUCCACCUGGGUCAAGCAUGCCUAGUGGUCCCCUGGGCCGAGUGGAGAAUUUGGACAGAUCCAAUAGAUUCUCUAGAGGACAGCGUUGUCCUUUUGCGGUUACUAACGGUCUCCACUUCAACACCCCAUUUAAAAUAUGAAUCACUGCAGAUCUGGGGCCUCCAGCUAUAGCUCUGAAAACUUCAUUCGGAAGUACCCAGUCCUCUGUAAGCACCCGCCCUCCCCUGCCUGUCUGCUCAUUUUUGGUGGCACGGUAUCUCAGAGGGCCAGCAGGAGCCCCAGCUCCUCCUAAGGAAAUGUCCUGUGGAUGAUUCUUCCUGCUGCAAAUGCAGUGAUCCCAGACAGCUGAACGUCACUGGAGUUGGGUCAGACUCUAGGGACUGGUCUGAAUAUUCCUUUCCAGUGAAACCCUAAAAUCACAGAUCCUGGAGAAGGAAGAGCCAUCAAGAGCUGCCUAGCUGCACUGAGAUGUAGAAACAGCCCCGGGGUGAUUCUUCUUUCCACUGAGGAUCACGUCCAAGUUUCAAAUGGGAGUGGGGAGUUUAUAUACUGCAAGAUACCUUGACUGUGCCAUCGACAGAUUCAUACACCAAUAGGUAACCGGUGACCGACGCCCGGGGGGCUCUCCAGGUGAGGAGGGCGGUUUCCGACUGAACUUCAGUAGCAGUCAAGUCUCUUGGAGAAUCAAGGUCUGCAGAAGGACCUUGGGCGGAACCUUUCCCAUCUGUAAUGAGGAGGCUGAGUCAUGUGAUCUCUGAAGACAGAAUUCUCUGUGGUUCGUUUCAUCCUGAAGGUCAGAUUUUCCUGAGCCCAACACACUCUAGAUUGGCCUUGGGUGGAUUUGGGGAGAAAGACACAGCUGGGAACAUGAUUCCCAACCCCUCUGGGU